CUUGCUCAUCCUUAUGGUUUUACACGAGUAAUGUCAAGCUACCGUUGGCCAAGACAGUUUCAAAAUGGAAACGAUGUUAAUGAUUGGGUUGGGCCACCAAAUAAUAAUGGAGUAAUUAAAGAAGUUACUAUUAAUCCAGACACUACUUGUGGCAAUGACUGGGUCUGUGAACAUCGAUGGCGCCAAAUAAGGAACAUGGUUAAUUUCCGCAAUGUAGUGGAUGGCCAGCCUUUUACAAACUGGUAUGAUAAUGGGAGCAACCAAGUGGCUUUUGGGAGAGGAAACAGAGGAUUCAUUGUUUUCAACAAUGAUGACUGGACAUUUUCUUUAACUUUGCAAACUGGUCUUCCUGCUGGCACAUACUGUGAUGUCAUUUCUGGAGAUAAAAUUAAUGGCAAUUGCACAGGCAUUAAAAUCUACGUUUCUGACGAUGGCAAAGCUCAUUUUUCUAUUAGUAACUCUGCUGAGGAUCCAUUUAUUGCAAUUCAUGCUGAAUCUAAAUUAUAAAAUUUAAAAUUAAAUGCAUAUCCUC
rnacentral:lncRNA from 1 species